ensembl:lncRNA
AUGAGCGUGAAGAGGAAGAAGCCUGGGCUGGUCAUCAGCUGGCAGAAGUCCUUCUCCCUCCUGGCUCCUUGGAGGAAAGGGAAAGGAGACAGAGACGCGGUUCUGGACAGAGAGGUUGUUCUGACCAAAAUGAAGCUCUUCAGCAACAUCCACAAGAUGCUUCCGACGGCCGACGACUCGGCCUCCACCAUCUCAACUGUGUCCGUUUCGGAGCAGGACGUCUGUGACCCCAGCAAACCCUCUGAAGUACGUUCCCACCGCGUUGACGAGCCGGGCCGGCUUCAGACGGAGUCCGUCUCACGGCACCCGGCCUCGGACUCUCGGCUGACGAGGUCGUACAAGUUUGAGUCGGAGGACUCUGGAGUGGAGCUGCCCAGCGGCGCGGACUCUCCGUCCACCCCGACGAGCUCUGAGCAGAGCUUCACUGUCCACAGCCGAGAGUCCUCCUGCAACCGGAACUCCGACGCCGGCGCCGCCCCCGAUGACCUGGUGCCACUCACGCAGCUCCCGGAGAGCAAACAGGCGCCGGGCUCAGCGGACGAUGGUGCGAGUGCAGCAGCGGGUGCUCUGGACGACGGUUUCAUACACUCAGAGGAGCUCAGUUCAGCCGUGGGUGCAGAGCGGCGCGCAGGUGAGGAGGUGGACGGGGACCAGAGCGGGGGGUCGGGAACCAGCCCGGAGAGAGACGAGGACAUGCCGGGACAGCUUGAGGAAACCUGCGCCGAAACCGAGAGGACCUGCUUCCGAGGAGACGGCAGCCACUGCGAGCCGGCGCCUCGGCGGAGCCGUGAGACCAGAGACAGCCUGGAGGACUACAUGGACCAAUGCUGCAGACUGAGUGAGGCACAGCAAGCGAGUUCCAACCCUCCGGGCUCGGGCCUGGAUUACCUGGAUCACAUCUGCCAACUCAUCGCCAGGAUCGGCCACCUGCAGGAGAACAACCUCCAGCUGCAGCGGCAGAUCUACAGCCUUCAGAAGGACAGCAGGACGGCAAAGACCAAAGAGGACUUUUUCCAGCAUCACUGCAGCUGUGGAGCGGCCUGCUUGUCUUUCCAGGACAUUCAGAAGAGACAGUCCAGAAGUGACUUCUCGUCCCCCAGUGGGACCCUCUCUGACCUGUCCACCAUCCCCGAGGUCACCCGGCCUCCACUCUUACCAGCCCGAGGAGACAUGAGCGGUGCGGGUUUGACACCCGUCCAACUGUGGAAGACGGGCUUGUACCGGAGGAGUUACACCGAGGGGGAAGAGCCCUUCCUCAGCCACAGCACCGAGGCGCUCUCCAUCCCCCAGCGAAGGCUCAGCGAAAACUGCACAUGGGGACGAGUCAAAGACCUGGUGAGGAAGACUAAGGUGAAGAACCAAAGCCGGCUGCGCCUGAAUUCUGCCUCCCUGGAGAGGUCCUGCCCACAGCUCUACAUGUGAGAAACACUCGCGGACUGUAAAUGAAUAGAUAUGAAUAGACUGUUUGUGCUGUUCUCUGAAUAGAAGAAACGUGGGUAGAUGUUAACUUGCUUGUAACGUCAUGAUCGCGAGGGGAAACUUGUUAUAAUGCCGCAGCAGAUUGCUUUGGUUUUUCAUUAAUGACUAAAUUAAGAUUUACAAUAAAUAUGUUAGCUGCUACUGAAGGAAAUACUGCUGUUAAAAAGCAUCUUAUUUCUUUAAAGUGUUUGCACAAAUGAAAGUACUACUUUUUAAAAUAAUCAUGUCAUUUUACUUAUAACAAUUAAGAAAAUGAUGCAAUUAAUUGUGAUUGUUGCCACGUUAAAAGAUAAGAAAAGUAGAAGCAUCGUGAUUUCCUCUAGAUUUGUCAAAGAGGUGAACACUGAAAAUCCUUAAAUCAGUUUUCCUAUCAAAGAUUACACCUUGUUUUGGGAAGGAUGUCGAAACAUACUAGAUGGAAAUGGCGCUGCCUCUACUUCCUGGCUUUCUUGAGAAGAAGAAGGAAUGACGGAAAUGCAGAAUGGAAUGAGAAAGGAGUGUCGGAUGGUGGUUCUCGGGAGGUGGAGCAGUAUCUGUUGGGAGGUGUUGGCCCAGGAUCCUGACCGGGGGCUGGCAUGGGCCCAGCAGAACAUGAGGGGGGUUGGAGAGUCACGGUAUGCCUCGAGGAGGGGGAGGAUUGCCCCCCGGCCCGUCCAGGACUCGUUAGAAGCAACCGCACCCUCCUGCCGAGACACAUGCAACGGGCGCCUGCAGCGCUGACGAGCCGCAAUGAGGGGAAAUAUGUGUCUGUCACAGCCGCAGGCCGAGCUGCUGGGACAGAAACACCGUAAACACGAUAAUAACGGUCUCCUCUUCUUUACAGGCCUGACGUGGAACCAUUAGAACCCGCUUGCAGAGACAGGAGCUCCAUGAUAGCCUUGGGCCACCACAGCAAACUGGACGUCCCUUGGUUACAAUAAACAUGGAGGAGGGACACGCAUCCGUUCUGGGAGAAUAACCACCACGCACCAUCCAGCAAUCCUCAAGCCAUUAUUUUAUUAAAGGCUGUUGAAGUGGUCCGAUAAAGGAUGGGCUCCGGGAGAGAAGGGACACAUUCUGGGGCUUUACAAUCCACUACAUGAUGCGGCUGCUGCAAUGCUGCCAUUUGGGCUAAAAAAAUAAAGAAAAAUUGACUUGAUACACAACUAAGAUUACUCAGAAUGUGCCUCAGUCUGAACACACUUUCAGAAGCUUGUAAACGUUAAAGUUGGCUGGACGUUUUCUUUGGAAUGCACAGUGCAAAAUAUACUAAAUCAAUAUUGUAAAGUUAAUAUUCUCGCUAUCAAAAGAACAUUUCUUGAUCGCUAAGUCACACCCUCAUCUUUGCACAAUGGAUGGAGAACAAACGAUAAUAACACAGAUAACAAUUGUCAUUUGUUUAUGUCAGAGUAACAAACAGCUAGUUGGUUGAUUGGGACAUUGUGAUGCAUUUCAUUUCCAACGUCACACUUGUACCAUUAUGUGGUUUGGAUGUCAGGACUCUACUGCAUGCUAUUGUACUCCAAAACGGGAAAACUGUAAGUAAACUAUUGCAUUUAAGUAGAAUUUUGUAAGACAAUAACUUUUUCUAAUAAGUUAUAUCUGAGGUUUAUCUGCAUGGCGUCAGACAACUAUAUAUGUAUUUUAUGUUUCUGUAUGGAUAUUGCAUUCAUAUUCAAAUGUAUUUUUUAAUAAAAAUUCAAUCCAAAGGAAUUGAUGCAGAAUGAGCACAUGUGCCAUUAUGCGUGUUACACAAACGCUGGGAUGGACGAUCGUCAGCCUUGACCGCUCUCAGGUGGUCACAGCGAGGAAACUCAACCAAAAAUACUCCGAUGACAGACAUUGAUUUUCUCGAGGGAGAUUUGUCUUGUCUGUAAUUCAUUAUACCGUCACCCUUUUAUGAAUUGAUAUGUCUGCUGUGUGCCGCACACAGGAGGCCACAACUGCGUCUCGUUGUGCGAUCCCUUGCAUUGCACAGUGACAGUAACGCUCAAUACUUACCUAUGAAACAGUGAGGUGAUUGUUUUCUACAAUCCACCUCCACAGUUUUGAAGAGUCAACGUGAGUGAGUUGCAUUCAAAUGCGUUCACCCACCGGGUCAUUACACCCUCGGCAUCACAUGGUGAGGGGGCCCUGGGUUCCCGGCUUCAAUUAGUUGUAACAGUCAGCAUCCGUAGCACACUGGCUGAGACCAUACUAAGCAGGGAGACGUCAACCUGGAAGUGCAUUGACGAGCUCGUGAACAGUAGUUUGACAGCAGGGCGGAGCUGAGGGGCUAAAGGGGGCUGGGGGCCCCUGAUAAGCGCCGGCAUCCUGCUGGUGCGUCGCAGAGUGCCGUUGCUCAGGACAACAUGAUUUAGGAAACGUCCCAAAAAGUUGAUCAUACUGCCCAGAUCUGAACGUUUUUCCAGGCCAUUUUUUAGGGACUCUUUACGGACCCCGUCCCCAAAACAUUGAUCUCAAGAUGCCUGAAAGAACGGUCUAGAGAGGGUGGAACACCGGACCAAAGCGCAUAACAUUUAGAAUCUGGCUGAUACCAUGUAAUGACUAAGAAAAGGACAGCACGUAUGAUACUUUCUAUGCUGGAGUUAAGCUCUGGUGUACAUCUACCACUCUAUGUACUUUCUGAUUCGUCCUUUACGGUAAGAAAGAACCAUAAAUGACGAUCUGUGAUUGUAUAUGACUUUUACUGAUAACAUAAUGCAGUAUAGCCAGGACAGCCUUACAGAGUCGCGACGCUUUGUGUUGCGUUGCUUCACAUUGCGUCGAGGUCUGUAUGAUCACAAAAUUCAGAGUUUACCCACCUCUAAUUUUACCACUACAGCACUGCCUAUAUGUGAUGUCUCAGUGGUGUUUGUGACUAGCAGGUGCACUGAAUGAACUGAUUAGGUGAGUGACAGGUGGGGGAGACAGGGUAGAAAGUGACGGAGCUGUGGCGAGGCUUAUUUCUUUU